UCUCUCCUUAUCUCUCUCUCUCUCUCUCUCUGUUAUAUCGUGAUCUUGGUUUUUCGUCGGGAUUUUUAGUUUCGUUCAGUGAAAAGUGCUGCUGGUGGCGGUGCUGCAAAACGAAAGCAGAAACGAGCAAACGUCGGAGAUUGUGAGAUGGAUGCGCCUAGAGAGUCUUUUGGUAGCCGAGAAGCAUCAGAUCAAACGACCGCCGCUGCGGCGGGCACCGGCGACGUUGUAGAUGGAACAUUGGCGGGCACUUCCCCUGCCGUCGAAACAUCAAACCAUCAUCCCAACGGCGACCAGAAGUUGAGGAACACGGCCAAUAGAUCACCCUCCGUUGCAAUGGGAGAGUAUAAUAGUUCAGAAUAUGUUGACAUUACUGAAGAAUCAUCUUGUACUAGGGGAAAUAAUUUCAGGAAAGUUUCCCUUAUACCCCUUAUAUUCCUGAUUUUUUAUGAGGUUUCUGGAGGGCCAUUUGGCGUUGAGGACAGUGUUCAAGCUGCUGGUCCCCUUCUGGCCCUUCUGGGCUUUGUAGUCUUCCCCUUCAUAUGGAGCAUUCCUGAAGCUCUAAUUACUGCAGAGAUGGGUACCAUGUUCCCUGAAGAUGGUGGUUAUGUUGUUUGGGUUUCGUCUGCCUUGGGGCCAUACUGGGGUUUCCAGCAAGGUUGGAUGAAAUGGCUGAGUGGGGUUAUUGAUAAUGCUCUGUACCCAGUUCUGUUUCUUGACUAUCUGAAGUCAGCAAUUCCGGCUUUAGAUGGUGGCUGGCCCAGGGUUGUGGCAGUAUUAGCUUUGACUUUUGUCCUCACUUACAUGAACUAUAGGGGUUUAACAAUUGUGGGAUGGACGGCUGUUCUGUUGGGUGUGUUUUCAAUCCUUCCUUUCGUGGUUAUGGGACUCGUGGCAAUUCCGAAGUUGGAGCCUUCAAGAUGGUCGGUGGUAAAUCUGCAUGAUGUGAACUGGAAUUUGUAUUUGAACACUUUAUUUUGGAAUCUAAAUUAUUGGGAUUCAGUGAGUACACUUGCUGGAGAGGUGAAUAACCCAAAGAAAACCCUCCCAAAGGCUUUGUUUUAUGCGUUGAUCCUAGUUGUUCUUGGUUAUUUCUUUCCUCUUUUAAUUGGUACUGGAGCAAUUCCACUUGAGCGUGACUUGUGGACUGAUGGGUAUUUCUCAGAUAUUGCCAAAAUGCUUGGUGGAACAUGGUUGCGAUUUUGGAUCCAAGCGGCUGCAGCAAUGUCAAAUAUGGGAAUGUUUGUGACUGAGAUGAGCAGUGACUCCUUCCAACUUCUGGGUAUGGCAGAACGAGGAAUGCUUCCUGAACUCUUCAGCAGGAGGUCACGUUAUGGAACUCCUUUGAUUGGGAUUUUGUUUUCAGCUUCUGGCGUGAUUUUGCUUUCAUGGCUGAGCUUUCAAGAGAUAGUGGCUGCAGAAAAUUUCUUGUAUUGUUUUGGAAUGAUUUUGGAGUUUAUAGCAUUUGUGCGGUUAAGGAUGAAAUACCCGGCUGCAUCACGGCCUUACAAGAUACCUGUGGGUACAGUUGGAGCCUUUCUUAUGUGCAUCCCUCCGACCAUUUUGAUUUGUGUUGUCUUGGCUCUUGCUUCUGUCAAAGUCAUGGUUGUAAGCCUAAUUGCCGUAGCUAUUGGUCUUGUACUCCAGCCUUGUCUGAAGCAUGUCGAGAAAAGGAGAUGGCUGAAGUUCUCCAUAAGUUCUGAUCUUCCUGAUCUUCAUGGUGCUAAUCAUGAGAAUUCUGAAUCUUUAAUGAGCUGAGAAAGAUCUUGUUCGGUCAUUCGUAGAUAUGUAGAAAGACAUUCAUUGCUACGGUGCUAACUGCUAAGUUUCCAUGUCAGGAUUCCUUGCUCUAUGCAUUCAUCUUGGCAGGCAUUUACAAGAAUUGUGGGGUGUUCUAUGGUCCACCAGCAUGCCUUGAGGAGUAUCUCUUUGGACUCGCCUUUAACCUCCACUGGCAGCAACAUGCUUCUCUCAGUCAGCAGCGUAAUCACAGCCACUUUUCUUUUAAUGUUCUUGCUGUUUUCAUUCCCCCCCCCCCCCCUUUCUCUUCUAUUUUUCUUGUCGUAUUCCUCUUCCAGCCUGCAGUUGUCAUUCUCUACAUAUGUUUGGCAUGCUUUACUUCUAUUUAGCUCAUAUCUUCAAAUGCGGUGUAUUGGAUAAACAUAGUUUAGAGAAUGUUUUAUAGCAUAAGAUAAUGAAAUAGAUAGUUUAAAAAAUAUGAAGAACAUUUUUAGCAAA